GCAGAAGUAACAUUCCUUUGAACACUCAGCUUUCUGAAAUGGUGUCCCACCGCAAGGACUGGAGAAGGGUAAACCUCAGGUUCUCCUCCUGCCUUUUGCUAAGUAUAUGUCUUGAUGACAAGCCUUCUGCUGAUGAGCUGUGUUUCUGGACCGAUCAUGGUAGAAGUCAAUUAACGUGUCCCUCACUUGGGGUUUCUCAAGGUCAUCUAUGAACUGACUCUGUCUCAAAAAAAAAAAGAAAAAAAAGAAAAGAAAGAAUGAAAAAAAAAACUAGGACAUGGCUAACAGGAAUGGGGACAAAGAAUACAUGCAAGGUCCUCAUGAUUGUCUCAAAACUAUAUAGAAUUGAGAAGCUGCACUGAUGAGGAAACUGAAACAGAAAAUCCAGAGUAAAUUCCACCAGGCCACACAGCAAGGUCUGAUAGAGCCAGGAGAGACUUUAUGAAAUCCAGACUCUCACACUAAUGCUCUAUCAGCUAGACCUCCAUGUGAGUCUCCCCAAUGUAGGUAGGAAGUGCUUUCCCUAAAAUGCUCAUAAAGCAAAUCAGAGCAAUGCUGCAUUCCAUGUGAUUUC
rnacentral:lncRNA from 1 species